GUGGGGAAUAUUGGGCAAUGGGCGCAAGCCUGACCCAGCAACGCCGCGUGAGGGAAGAAGGUUUUCGGAUUGUAAACCUCUGUCGCAGAUGACGAAGGAAGUGACGGUAAUCUGUGAGGAAGCCCCGGCUAACUACGUGCCAGCAGCCGCGGUAAUACGUAGGGGGCGAGCGUUGUCCGGAAUUACUGGGCGUAAAGGGAGCGUAGGCGGUCGAUUAAGUUGGAUGUGAAAUACCCGGGCUUAACUUGGGGGGUGCAUCCAAUACUGGUUGACUAGAGUACAGGAGAGGAAAGCGGAAUUCCUAGUGUAGCGGUGAAAUGCAUAGAUAUUAGGAGGAACAUCGGUGGCGAAGGCGGCUUUCUGGACUGACACUGACGCUGAGGCUCGAAAGCGUGGGGAGCAAACAGGAUUAGAUACCCCUGUAGUCC
rnacentral:rRNA from 1 species